ensembl:lncRNA
GCAGUAGCAGGGUGACUUAAGUCUAUGCUAAUUUCCUAAUUUUGGCUAUCAGUCAAACUCAGCAAUUCCUUCCAUAUCUCUUAAGCUCCCCUAGAAAAAGAAGAAAAAUGCAUACAGAGGAAGGUCUGGGGCUGGGAUCUGAGCCAAAGGAAUAAUGCCACCAUCCCACAAACUCUACCAAGGAAAGAUGCGGUCAACCUUAGCAACCCUCUCUUUCUUUAAUUUUCUAAAAGUUAUCAUAUGCUCCAACUCCUGUAAGAAAUUUCUCUCGUAUGUUUAUUAUUUCCUUUUGACAUGCACAAAUUCACAUGCCUGUUUAGUCGAUAAAUAUUGACUGCACAUCUACUAUAUGCCACAACAUGUGUCUCUAGAAACUACGAAUAGGUGCUAUAUACAGAUUAGGUAUGCAUAGCAGUAAUGUGGAAGCUUGCUUACAAUCUUUGGUUGUUACUUUUUGUUUGGGUAGUCAGUCUUCUGUCUACUCGUCUGUAUGUUUCCCCAGCAAAAGAGACUUUGUUUUUUAUUGUUCACCAAUCUCUUAAUCUGGAGAAGGAGAUGGCAGCCCAUUCCAGUGUUUUUGCCUGGAGAAUUCUAGGGAUGGGGGAGCCUGGUGGGCUGCCGUCUAUGGGGUCACACAGAGCUGGACACGACUGAAGUGACUUAGCAGUAGCAGCACAGAUUAGGUAUGUAUAGCAGUAAUGUGGAAGCUUGCUUACAACCUUUGGUUGUGACUUUUUCUUUGGGUAGUCUUCUGUCUACUCGUCUCUAUGUUUCCCCAGCAACAGAGACUUUGUUUUUUAUUGUUCACCAAUCUCUUAAUCUGAGAAGGAGAUGGCAACCCAUUCCAGUGUUCUCUCCUGGAGAAUCCCAGGGACGGGGGAGCCUGGUGGGCUGCCAUCUAUGGGGUUGCACAGAGUCAGACACGACUGAAGUGACUUAGCAGUAGCAGCAAUCUCUUAAUCACAUCUAGCAUGAUGCAAGCAUAGCGUACAUACUCAAUAACUGCUUAUAGAAUUAUCUGUUGGAGAAAUAGAAUUUAAAAAAAAAUCUCCAAAUCCAGAAAUCCUUCUCUCCACAUAGGUAGUAGAGAAAGAAAACAAUUUUAUUACUGAACUGCAUUAAACCAGAAAGUGGUGUGCAUCACAUAAUCUGCUAAGAAAUUGCAAAAACAGAAAGAUAUCUCACCAUUUUAUAUAACCAAGCAGAUACAACCUGUUAAAAAAAUGUUAUUAAGAUAAAAGAGAAUUACUGUUCAAGUAAGAGGAUUUGACAGCACUGUUAAAAGGAUUAGUCCUCAAGUAAGAGGAUUUGACAGUCACUGUUAAAAGAUAAACUGAGGCAUAUUAACCAUUUGUCACUACUAAAAGAUAAACUGAAGCAUACUAAACAUUUUGAGUUUAUUUAAGCAAAAAUCAACUUGAAUCUGCCAGCAUCCAUUCUAGAAGCAAGGAAGGAACAUCGAGAAGCUGUACAAAGUGAAAGACUUUUAUAGUCAGAAGGGAGAAGGAACAAGGAAAUUAUACUGGGCAAAAAAAUAGGGUUAUUUUAAAGUUAUUUUCCUUUAGGGGAUAGUAGGGGUCUAUCAGGCAGAUGACCUAACUAGCGUGAUCAGGUAGUUCCUGAUUAACUGGUUUUAUGGUUCCACUUACGGGACAACUAAACUAUAAUUAACUCACCAUUUGGUGACUUGAGGCUUAGCAUAACUGACUCCAUUUUUGGCCUGUUGUCUUGCUCUUAGCAACACGCAGAGUUCAUCUUAGAUUCACUGGGUAAUUGGGGUGACCAUCUGUAUUAGCUGGCUUUAUACACAGGAAAAAUAAAUUUCUCAUAUCUUUUUCACAGGAGGUAGUUUUGCAACUUAGAGUCUUGCCAGUCACCAAAGUGAGUUUCCUCUCCUUUCAGAGAUACUGAUGUUUAUGUUCCAAAGAAAUGGCUCCCAGGUCACUGAGAAAGACAUUCUAGGUCAUAAAGCUGACCAAAAGACCUAUGUAGUUUUCAAAACGCUGAAUAUACAAUUUAAAGAGAGGAGGAAGUACUUACAAAGUUUCCUACAGUAAAUACUCCAAGAGAAAGAGAAACUUCUGCCCUUACUUUCAAUAGAGAGAAUUUAAUUCUUUUUAGUUUUUAUUUAUCCUUGGAAAUUAGAUUUUAAAAGCUUUGAGGAAAUAAGAACGUUUUCCUUAUUACAAGGAAUUUUCUUCUCUCAUAGUGACACUUCGAAAAUUAUAAGAUUCACCUUGACCACUUCACAGAACUUUGGAAUGGGCAAGAAGGCCCUAGAAGACACCAUUAUAGGGGAAAGCCAGCAUCUUAUAAGGAACUUUGAGACUGACAAAGGAGAGACACAUCUACUGAUUAUUUCAAUGAUGAUACUUUGGUGGUACUUGUUAAUAAUCUGUUUGCAGCAGGUACAGAGAGCAUGGUUUCCACUCUGUGCUGGGGGAUUCUGUUCAUGUCACGAUAUCCUGAGAUCCAGAAAAAGGUCCAUGAUGAGAUUGCCAAAGUCAUGGGGUCCACCCAGCCUUGAAUGGCACACUGAACUCAAAUGCCGUACACAGAUGCUGUCAUUCUCGAAGUGCAGAGAUUUGCUGAUAUCCUGCCCACAGGCUUACCCCGAGCAACCACCACAAAUACUAUAUUUAAAAACAACUAUAUUCCAAAGCAGGUACCAGAUGAAAAUUUGUUAGAGUAUAUGAAUACCCUGCUGCUGCUGCUGCUGCUGCUAAGUUGCUUCAGUCGUGUCCGACUCUGUGCAACCCCAUAGACAGCCUCCUACAAGGCUCCUCUGUCCCUGGGAUUCUCCAGGCAAGAACACUGGAGUGGGUUGCCAUUUCCUUCUCCAAUGCAUGAAAGUGAAAAGUGAAAGUGAAGUUGCUCAGUCGUGUCCGACUCUUAGCGACCCCAUGGACUGCAACCUACCUCAAUCUCAAAUGCCAUCUUCCCCUUCUCUACUUCCUGUUCCUUCUAGAAUACACUGCUUCUCUAAAAUUGCCAACUGAGUCAUCGUAUGUCUCUAAGAGCCACCUUUUUAGGAAGGAAUUUCAUCUUUGUCAUUAAUAACACUUUUAUCUCUAGGGCACUGAGGUCAUCUUUUUGUUGACCUCUGUACUUUGAGAUCAAACACAGUGGGAAAACCCAGCCACCUUUAACCCAGAGCAUUUCCUUGACUCUAUCGAGAAGUUUAUCAAGAAGGAAGCUUUCAUAUCCUUUUCAGUAGGUAAGGCAUCUUACUUUAGAAAGGUGAUUCAAAAAAUCUGGAGAUACUUGGCCCUGGCUCAAGGCCAGGGCUAAGGUUCUGUAAUUUGCCACGUGGCACUAAACUUCAGAAAUAUGGAAAAGUUCUCCCCCAGCUUUCAGUUGGCUGUAGGACAUUGGGCAUUGGAAUGACAUUUUCUUAUGGAAUCCUAGAAGAUUCCUUGUGGCUAAGGCUAGCGCAGAGCCUUGGGAAUUUGAAGAGAAAGUUGAGCAGGGCAACCACAGGUAAAUCCAUUUCAUCUAUAAAAAGCCUUACUUUAAUUGUGCAAAUACCAGUGUUUCUUUUAGAAUUUCUUCUUUCUUUUUUUGCAGUAUAGUUGAUUUACAAUGUUGUGUUAGUUUUAAGUGUACAGAACUAUGAUUCAGUUAAAUAUAUACAUAUAUCUAUUCUUUUUCAGAUACUUUUCCCUUAUAUGUUAAGCUGAAACUCCAGUACUUUGGCCACCUCAUGUGAAGAGUUGACUCAUUGGAAGAGACUCUGAUGCUGGGAGGGAUUUGGGGCAGGAGGAGAAGGGGACGACAGAGAAUGAGAUGGCUGGAUGGCAUCACUGACUCGAUGGACGUGAGUCUGAGUGAACUCCGGGAGUUGGUGAUGGACAGGGAGGCCUGGUGUGCUGCAAUUCAUGGGGUCGCAAAGAGUCGGACACGACUGAGCGACUGAUCUGAUCUGAUAGGUUAUUACAACAUUUGAGUAUAGUUUGUUGUGCUAUAGUGCUAUACGAACUUAUUCCAGUUUUUAAACAUCUUGACAUUUCCCCCAAUAAUCCAUAUUUUAAAAAUAGUACUAGCCAAAUACUCUUCUUCAAGUGCCUUAGCAUGAUCUAGUUUCUAGUCAUACAUGCAGUCUCAGGUCUGAGACUCGUGACCUCAUGCUUGGCGUUCUAGUCAGAGUCCUGUUUCUUCCCACCCUCCAAUGCAUCACCACACCUGACUCAUCUUCCCUGUGUGCCUGGCUCACUUCUCUCCAUGUGUACCAGAACUUAGAUACAAAGAUGUCAUACGAAGGUGAGACCUCCUUUAGCUCACUUUCCUAUGGGUUCUCAUCACAUACGUGGUUUUACCUGUUAUAACCUGUUUCACAUUAAAACCUUAAAAUUGUCUCCCUCAGGGGAGCUCUAUUAAUUUUCUAUUUCCAAUGCUUCAACUAGCAGACAGAGCCUAUAAAACUCACAAGAGGUUGACUGACUCACACAUUCUGAAGGAGAAGAAAUCACACAUGGAUGGUUUCCCUCUUUGUCCACACUGUUUUUUCAGAUUUUUGGUCUGUCUUAUAACCCUUCACUACCAUCCACCUCUCUAGGUCCCCUCUCUAGUGUGCUGGGGAGUCACUGGCCAAGAUGGAGCUUUUGCUUUUCUUCAUGAGUCUCCUGCAGAAGUUCACCUUCCAGCCACCCCCUGGGGUCUCCCAUCUGGACUUGGACCCAACCCGGGAUACUGGUGUCGUCAUCCAACCAAUGCCUCACAAGAUACGUGCUCUGCCCCGAGCCAGGGUCUGCGUGCCAGCUACUGUCCCAGUUCUCUGUUAUUUUGCGGUCCUUUGCACUGACUGCACUGUUCUGCACCUUGACAGCUGUGUACUCUGCCGAGUCCUUCACUGCUUCAGCAGGCAGUCACAUCAUCCCAGAGGCCUCUGGUGUUAAGUCAGAUUGGGUUCCUCUGUUAAUCUCUGCAGCAAAAACCUCCUUACUGCCGUUCUCCAAGACAGUACACAUCAACACAACAUUUGACAAAUAGAACCUACUAGUGCCAUAAGGUUUUGCCCUUUAGUCCGAGAAACUGUCCUUUUCCUCCAAGGCAUAUGAGACAUCUAUGUAUUACUAGCUCUAAUUGCUUGGGGCAGGGCAGGGGGUGCAGUUUUAAUUGGUUGGUGCAGGGGAGGGGGGUGCUGUAUAAUGCUUUGUCUAGAAUGCUCAUGAAUAUCUUUAAAACUGCAGUGAAGAAAAUUUAACUCUUAAGCGAGGGUCCCAUUAAACAUAAGAUAUUGGCUUCAUUCAUUGGUUCAGUCAAUAUAGGAUGACUAAUAACAGAUCAUUGCUUGUGAGUAUGACCAAUUUGCUGAGGUCAGAAAAUGAGGUUCCUGCUUCUGACAUAACUGGAACUUGAAGACCACCCCCCUUCUCUAUGUUCAGUGCUCUGAGUCCCAGUAAAGUCAUACCCAAGGGACCUAUGAGCAGAAUAAAGAAAUCAUUGUCAGUUCCCGUGAGACACAAAGCAUCUUUAGCCUUUACAAAUCAAAUGGAUGUCCCUAAUAUCAAUAUAAAUGAUUCUCCCCUGCUCUUAUCUGAUUCCUAUCAAAGCCAAAAUUGCACUGGACAGGGUUAAACAGUAAAAGAAGGUUUUAUUUAAAGCUAUUGCAAUAGGAGAGAGAGGCCAGAAUUUAGUCUGAGCUCAAUUCAACUGAAACAAGGGAGGCAAAGGUUUUUAAGUGCUAACGUGAGCUAGUGGGUUUAAGGGAUUAGAUCUGAUAAACAGAGUGCCUGAAGAACUAUGGAUGGAGGUUCAUAACAUUGUACAGGAGGCAGUGAUCAAAAUCAUCCCCAAGAAAAAGGAGUGCAAAAAGGCAAAUGGUUGUCUGAGAAGGCCUUACAGGUAGCUGAGAAAAGAAGAGAAGCAAAAGGCAAAUGAGAAAAGGGAAGAUAUAUCCUUCUGAAUACAGAGUUCCAAAGAAUAGCAAGGAGAGAUAAGAAAGCCUUCCUAAGUGAUCAAUGCAAAGAAAUAGAGGAAAACAAUAGAAUGGGAAAGACUAGAGACUUCUUCAAGAAAAUUAGAGAUAGCAAGGGAAUAUUCAUGAAAAGAUGGGCACAAUAAAGGACAAAAACAUUAUGGACCUAACAGAAGCAGAAGAUAUUAAGAAGAAGUAGCAAGAAUACACAGAACUAUACAAAAAAAGAUCUUAAUGACCCAGAUAACCACAAUCGUGUGAUCACUCACCUAGAGCCAAACAUCCUGGAGUGCAAAGUCAAGUGAGCCUUAGAAGGCAUCACUAUGAACAAAGCUAGUUGAGGUGAUAGUAUUCCAGCUGAGCUAUUUCAAAUCCUAAAAGAUGAUGCUGCUAAAGUGUUGUACUCAAUAUGCCAGCAAAUUUGGAAAAAACUCAGUAGUGGCCAUGGGACUGGAAAAGGUCAGUUUGCAUUCCAAUCCCCAAAAAAGGCAAUGCCAAAGAAUGUUCAAGCUACUGCACAAUUGCACUCAUCUCACAAACUGGCCAAGUAAUGCUCAAAAUUCUCCAAGCUAGGUUUCAACAGUAUUUGAACCGUGAACUUCCAGAUGUUCAAACUGGAUUCAGAAAAGGCAGAGGAACUAGAAAUCAAAUUGCCAACAUCCGUUGGAUCUUCAAAAAAGCAAGAAAAUUCCAGAAAAACAUCUACUUCUACUUCAUUGACUAUGCUAAAGCCUUUGACUGUGUGAAUCACAACAAACUGUGGAAAAUUCUUCAAAAGAUGGGAAUACCAGACCACCUUACCUGCCUCCUGAGAAACCUGUAUGCAAAUCAAGAACCUACAGUUAGAACUGGACAUAGAACAACAGACUGGUUGCAAAUUGGAAAAGGAGUAUGUCAAAGCUGUAUAUUGUCGCUCUGCUUAUUUAACUUAUAUGCAGAGUUAUGCAAAAUGCUGGGCUGGAUGAAGCACAAGCUGGAAUCAAGACUGCCGGGAGAAAUAUCAAUAACUUCGGAUAUGGAGAUGACACCACCCUUAUGGCAGAAAGCGAAGAGGAACUAAAGAACCUCCUGAAAGUUAAAAGGGAGAGUGUAAAUGCUGGCUUAAAAUUCAACAUUCAAAAAAUUAAGACCAUGGUAUCUAGUCCCAUCACUUCAUGGCAAAUAGAUGGGGAAACAAUGGAAACAGUCACAGACUUUAUUUUCUUGGGCUCCAAAAUCACCACAGAUGGUGACUGCAGCCAUGAAAUUAAAAGACGCUUGCCCCUUGGAAGAAAAGCUAUGACCAACCUAGACAGCAUAUUAAAAAGCAGAGACAUUACUUUGUUGACAAAGGUUCAUCUAGUCAAAGCUAUGGUUUUUCCAAUAGAGUUGGGCCAUAAAGAAGGCUAACCACUAAAGAAUUGAUGCUUUUGAACUGUGGUGUUGGAGAAAACUCUUGAGAGUCCCUUGGACUUGCAAGAUCAAACCAAUUAAUCCUAAAGGAAAUCAGUCCUGAAUAUUCAUUGGAAGGACUGAUGCUGAAGCUGAAACUCCAAUACUUUGGCCACCUGAUGCGAAGAGCUGACUCAUUGGAAAAGAUCCUGAUGCUGGGAAAGAUUGAAGGCAGGGGGAGAAGGGGACGACAGAAGAUGAGAUGGUUGGAUGGCAUCACCAACUCAAUGAGCGUGAGUUUGAGCAAGAUCCAGGAGUCGGUGAUGGACAGGGAAGCCCAACAUGCUGCAAUCCAUGGGGUCUCAAAGAGUCAGAUACAACUAAGGGACUGAACUAAACUGUGAGCUAGUAGAAAAGUCCUGGAGUGCGGAGUGUGGUCAAUGUGUCCUGCACACUGAAUUAUUCUUUCAUUUGCAAAUAUUAUUCUCUGAUUCUAGAUCUGUGUUUGCUCAUUUUUACCAACAGAAGUUAGGCUCCUACUCGCCCUCAGAGCCUGGGAGAUAGGGACACUAAGUUCCUUAGAGGUUAUAUUUCCACGGGAUGUCUCCCAUGUCCUUGAGACAUCCCUGUAUUGUAAAACUGGCAAGAGAUUUUGAAAAAUAUUUACAUUUUAAAGGGGCUGAGAAAUAAUUCAUAAUUAAAAGUGUUCUCAAGUAAAUUCUCUAAGGAAAAGGGAGGUUAAGGUCUAGAGUCAGAAACUAGCCUGCUUAGGUUAAUCAAGGAGAGAAAAGUACUAAGGCCUUGGUCACCCCCAAUCCAGCAUUCUCCACAAACCCUUUUUAGAAUGAGUCAGAUGGGGGACUUUCCUGGUGGUUCAGUGGUUAAGAAUCCACCUGCCUAUGCAGGGGACACGGGUUUGAUCCCUGGUCUGGGAAGAUCCCAGGUGCUGUACGGCAACUAAGCCCUUGUACCACAACUACUGAGCCGUAUCCUAGACCCUGUGUUCCAACACGAGAGAAGUCGCCACAGUGAGGGGCCCACGCACCGCAACUGGACAGCAGCCUCCACUCACCACAACUAGAGAAAGCCUGUGUGCAGCAGCAAAGACCCAGAGCAGCCAAAAAUAAAUAAUAAUUUAAAAAGAAAGGAUGAGUCAGACUGGGGAAUACUCAGGUACCUUGGCUUCCCAGUGGAACUAAAUGAUUAAAAAAAAAAAAAAAAAUGGGGCUUGCUAAUUUUAAUUUGUUUAAGCAUAUUCAAGAGACAGCUGCAUUUUCUGACUUGCCCAUAAUACAUAAUUGGUGUUCAAUAAUAUAUAGUUAAUUCUAAAUCUAAAGUCAAAAUUAAUUCAUGGACUGCUUUCUUUUACAGAGAUCAACAGAAAUAGCUUUGAUUCAAAAUCAGGAAUUUGAGUUCUAAUUCCAAUCCUUUCAGUUCCCCAUUUUUAUGACUUUAUGACUAUAUAUUGGCAGAGGGAUACUUAGUGAAUGUGACACCAGAAGCAGAUGAUUUUUAACAUUAAUAUGAAAAAUGAUAUUCAAUAGUAAUCAUACAGUAAACAAUUUUGAUCCUUUGGUGAGUCUGAUAUAAUUAUUACAUAUGAAGAACUGUCAAGCAGCUAAUACACUUUAAUACAACUGUCUAGUUUUUAUAUUUAGUAGAAAUGUCUACAAAUAAAAACAGAAACUACUAAAUUAUACCACUCUUGGAAUGUUUUCCUGAUUCAUUCUUUAAAAAAUCAAUAAAUAAUUUCAUGUUAAUUACCCAAAUCCAAUAAAACCAUUCAUGG